CCAAAAUCCUAGCCUCACUUUAAACAAUAGCCACCCCGCACCUAUUAUAACUAACUAAAAUAUUCUCACUUUAUAGUAAAGAAGAUUGAAAAACUACACGAAGCAAUAACUAUGUACCGCAAGGGAAAGCUGAAAUAACUGAAACAAACUAAAGCACAAAGCAGUAGAGACCAAAUCUCGUACCUUUUGCAUCAUGAUUUAACUAGUUCAACCAAGCAAAAAGACUUUAAGUUUGACACCCCGAAACUAAGUGAGCUACUUCGAGGCAGCCUACGGGGCGAACCCAUCUCUGUUGCAAAAGAGUGGGAAGACCUCCAAGUAGAGGUGACAGACCUACCGAACUUAGUGAUAGCUGGUUGCUUGCGAAAAGAAUCUCAGUUCCGCCUAAAGCCCUGCCAAUACAAUUAAAUGACACCCAAACUUUAGAGUAACUCAAUCAGGGAACAGCCUGCUUGAAACAGGACACAGCCUCAACCGAUGGGUAAUUAUUUCCCCCCCCCCCCCC
rnacentral:rRNA from 1 species